rnacentral:lncRNA from 1 species
CACACCCUGAAUAAUGACACGUCUGUGUUGUGGCCGGGAUGUGCCACCCAGCUGCCCCUAGGUAGGGAGGGACAAUGGUACCAUAGCCGCCUGUCCAUGCAAAUCAUGUGAUGAAAAAGAAAGUAUAAAUGGGCCAAUGACCGACAAAAACACAAUACCCAGUUUGGACUGACACUAUAGCACCUUCUAUAACCAACCACGGAGCCAAGAUGAGAGUCGGAGUGCCCAUAUUCCUCUUUUUGGCUGCAGCAGGAUUCCACACUGGUAUGAGAAUUGUGUGGUCUAUUUCUCAAUGUCAUAAUGUUUUAAACUUCUCCAAUAUAUUUCUGUUUAAAUAUCAGUCAGCUGUGGCAUUUGAUGAAGACCUGUACUGCUGAUACUAGUUGCAAUGCUGUUUCAUGAUGUAUUGUGCGAUGGUAAUGUAAAGAAGGCCCUCAGCCUUUUUUAUGUGAUUGGCAUUCAAUUGAAUCCUUAUGUUUAAUUGAUAACAUGCCAGAGGGAAAUGUGAGUUGGCUGGUUAUAAUAGUAAAGAACAAUAAGGCCCGCAUACUCUUUAUGCUCCCAUUUCAGCGCUUUCUUUGGGGGUGGUGGUGGUGGUGGGGGGGGGGCUGGAUAUCAUCACAUCUAUGUUGUGUUGUCUAACAUUAUAAUCAAAUUUGACAUUAAAUUGCUUCUGACAUCCCCAGCUCUGACCGCAUCCUUGGAAUCGGCAGAAAAAGAAGACACAUUUGGUGAGGAAGUGGGGCUGGAGCAGCUAAGCGACCUGCAAAAGAGAGAUCAGGAGGAGUUUGAAGCAGCUCAAAUGAGUGAGGCUGUUCAAGAUGAAAAUACUGAGGAGGAGAAUGACACUCAGGAAGAGGACAUGACAGACAGAGACGGAAACGUUGAGGCAGACCAACAUGAGUCUGAGUCUGAUGAGGAUGUAGAUGAACAACUUGAAGCCAACGUUGAAGAAGCAGAUGAGACUACAAAUCUAGCUGAGGUAGAGUGAGCCUGCCGGAGGCAUCAUGUGAGGAGGCAGCACUUGCAGACCUACCCCCCAUCUUCUAUUACAGAACCCGAAGAACAUUGUGCAGCGAAACAGUUAACCGUUAAUAAAGAGACAUCUCUCUCCCCAUUCUAUUUCACUGCUGUGUGACUCCGUCCUUAUGCAAUAGGCCAUUGAGGUUUAUUUAGAAUGUAAUGGUUUGAAAAGUGAGUAUUUCAAAACGUCUUGAAUACAUAAAAUACAAAAAAAAUUAUAGCUUUCCAUUUUUAUUUAUUUUUUCCUCCAAAUGUAUUCUGUCUGCAUAACAAACCAGUAUUUUCUUUGGUGCCUUAAAAACAAAAAAAAAACUAUUAAGGCAACUAUAACUCUAAAUGAGUUUAGUAGUGCAGCAGCUCAGUACCGCAACUCUUGGUGGCAUCACAGC